rnacentral:rRNA from 1 species
GUGGGAUGUAAUCGCCUAAUCAUCAACUCUGACAAUAUGGAGGUGAUUGAGACCAUGCAGGACGGAGGACAGUCAGCGGGAGCGGCGGCGGCAAUCUUUGAUGACUGCUAUCAUUAUGCUUGUGAUUUUAUCAUGACUAGAUUCGAACAUUGUAAUAGAGAGGCAAAUAAAGUAGUACAUGAACUUGCUAGAUUAGCUAGAUUUUUUUCGACUUCGGAUUGGUUUGAGGAGCCUAUUAGUGAAAUUGUAAUGUUUCUCACAAACGAUGUACUGGUUAUUGCUAAUGAAUAA